CCUACGGGAGGCAGCAGUAGGGAAUUUUGCGCAAUGGGCGAAAGCCUGACGCAGCAACGCCGCGUGAUCGAGACGCCCUUCGGGGUGUAAAGAUCUGUCAGUGGGGACGAAAAUUGACGGUACCCACAGAGGAAGCCCCGGCUAACUCCGUGCCAGCAGCCGCGGUACUACGGGGGGUGCAAGCGUUGUCCGGAUUCAUUGGGCGUAAAGGGUUCGUAGGCGGCACGUAAAGUCUGGUGUUAAAGGCAGAGGCUCAACUACGGUACGGCACUGGAUACUUGCGAGCUAGAAUGCGGUAGAGGUAAAGGGAAUUCCUGGUGUAGCGGUGAAAUGCUUAGAUAUCAGGAGGAACAUCGGUGGCGUAGGCGCUUUACUGGGCCGUAAUUGACGCUGAGGAACGAAAGCCAGGGUAGCAAAUGGGAUUAGAUACCCUUGUAGUC
rnacentral:rRNA from 1 species